GUCAGGAGCAAGGGAAACCCUUCUCCUUUAAUUCCAUACAAGAACUCAAGAAUUGAAGCUGAAUUAGAGAAGAGAUCGAAUGCAUGAGGCUAGAUAUAGUUUAAUCUAAGUGUAUUGAUCAAAAGGAGUCAUUUCAACAUGAGCACAAAUAUGGAAGCGACACGGGUCGAAGGUAAACACGGAAGCUUUGUGUAAAUUCGGACGCACGAGGUUAGUCGGAUAUUCACGACGGACUAGUGAUCGAGGGACGAGUUAAGAUCAAGGAUUGU